rnacentral:lncRNA from 1 species
UCAGUUUAAGACUUACAAAACUGGAAAACAAACCGUUACAUUGUGGCUCAUAAAAUCUACAUCCACAGCCCCGCAGAACUUGCAUCCUUGCAGCUAAACUUGAGGUGAUGACUCUAGUCAAUGAACAAUUCACAUCUUUGCUGUUGUAAAUACCAAUUACGUAUGGCCUAAUAGACAUAAAUGGCAUAGCAAGAGUGGCUGAAAGGUUGCUAUUAUCCUUUGUCUAGGGGCAGCCAAAGAGUUGCCAUAAAAACACCAGCACUACAGCAGCUGUAUCAAAUUUCCAUACGGUUCACUAGUUAUUAAGAACAUGCCCAAAAUUUAAGCGAAAGUGCAACAAAAAUCCCAUCAAAACAGAAUUCACAUGCAUAGUUCGUACAAAAUCCUGUCCACGUCAUAAUGGCAUCUCAAAUAAUUAGACAAAUCAAAGCGCAAGACGGAACCCAAAAAGUUUUAAAUAAUCAAAACGGUGAACAAGAAGAGAAAAAAGUAAGGGCUAUGCAUAAAGUAAAGAAAAAACCAAUUAAGAGAAAGCAGUGGGAGUGGUGAACAAAAAAGAAAAAAAAAAGGUGGAACCAGCAAAUUAGUAGCAUCAGAUGUUCAAACAAUCCUAAUAGUUUCCGAAAACAUGCCAAAAUAGUUUAAAAUAAAACCACUUUCAUGGCUGAUGUUCAUAUAUCUCUACAACGAGGAGAGGCCAUAAAUGCCAGGAUUUUGUUCAAGUCUCUCUAGUUUCCAAAAGCAUAAAUCAAAUACUGAAGAAGAUAGACACUGGAAAAAAAUACUGAGAAGGAUAAGUCAAGAAAAAAUACCGAGAAGGGAUUUUCCUUUUUUCUCUUUUCAUUCCUUUCAAUGACCUGUUGUGAGAGGAAAAGGGAUUUCCGAAACACAAUAUCAUAAACCUUCUCAGUCCACAUAUGAAAAGAAAUGAAAUUAGCUAACACAGCACAAUCAUCAACUCAAUGAGCAGAGAAGUAGAAGAAAGAAAAAUAAUCCAAUAAGAACGAGUUUGAAGCAAAUGACCUAAUGAGCAGAACAAUGUGAAACAAGAAGGAAAAAGGAGAGUUUAACUGUUUGAGCUCAAAAGCCCUCAUCCAAGACACGAAAAGUAUGCCAACAAAUCACUGCAAAAAAUUAUCCCAAUGGUUGAUGGAGAUGCAAAUUACUGUGACAACUCCUCAUCAUUGCCAAUUUUCCCAUAAAAGGAGAUUAACUGAAAAGCCUAAAUGAAUUUAAAGCAAAUGGAAGUUGAAAAUUCAAAAUAACAGCUCCUUAUCAUUGCCAGCUUUCCCAUUGAAAACAACAUUUUAUCAUAAUGAACCCAUUGUUCAUCAUCACUACGAGCUCAAACCAACAAGCAAGCAAGAGCACUGUUCACUAAUUGUGAAGACAUGCACAAAGAAGUUACAGACAAGCACUUGAGAGUACUAUCGACCAUAUUAGAGAAUUCAAAAUUCCAUAUAAUGUGCCUUUAACAUAUUUCAUCAGUAGGCAAAAUUACUUUCGUAGCAAUGUCAAAUUCCAAAAAUCAACAACAAUCAUCGCCAAGCUAAUUAGGCCAAGUAGCAAAAGCAUGAAUUGAAUAUUGAAAAUAGUGCUUAUUAAUGCUGAGAGAACCGCGAGAGAAACAACAUACAACUCUCAGCAUUCUAGUUUAAAAAAAAAAAGAAUUAAAAGGGAAAACACCGGUAUGAAAGGAAAAAAAAAAGUGAGAUACUCCUCUCCUCCUCUCCCUCGCUUCCUCACGAGCUCACUCCUUCCCUCUCUCGCAGAUUACUGCUCGUUGCUCCUCGACUCCCUCGCAGAUCUCCAAAUUCAACUCGGGUGCUUCUCUCCAUCUCCAAACUGAAGUCCGGCCUCUCUCUCCAUUUCCCUCUCUUCUCCAAACUGAAGUCUGGCCACUCUCUCCAUCUCCCUCUCUAAAGUAAGUCGCUGCCGUUUCUCUUCUACCGUUUGAUAUAUGUUGGUAAUUAUUUGGUAGUUAUUUUGUUGGUAAUUAUUUGGUGAAAAAUACCGGAUAAUAUAUGUAUUACCCAUGUUGAAAAAAAAAAUCAUUGUAUUCUACUUGCUUUUUCUGGAAGUACUUUAGAAUUGUCAUAGCAUCUCCUUCUACAAUCUUUUUCUAGAACUGAGACAUUUUUAUAUUCAUCAGCUUCAACAAUAAUAGAAUUAAAAUUUCGAGCAAUGUUAAUUUCCGCACAAUCAUUCAUUUCAAUAUGCUUUCUUGCCCUAAUGUUACGGACUCAACCAGUUUUCACAAUAGGUUUCAGCACAUCAGUAGAUUUACUUUCUGACUUACCAUUGCGACCACAUGCAAACGUCGCGUAUUUUAUAAUUUUAUCACUCCCUUUUUUACUAGUUAACUUCUUUACAGGAACCCUUUCUUGUUUACCAUAGGCAUUGUAAAAUUGUCACAUGUCCUCGUGACUAUCAAAUAACAUCCCAAGAGUCGGCUCAUAUUUUUCCGAUUGCACAUCUUCGACCCUACCUUCAUUUUCCAAAUUUUUCAUUUCUACAAAAUAAUUAUUAUUUCUAAAAAUUUAAAUUUAAAUUCUAAAUGGAACCAAAAUUUAAAUAAUUCUAAAUCAAACACAUAAUUUAAAUAAAAAGAUUUCUAAAUCAACACAAAAUUUAAAUUAGUAAAAAUUCUAAAUCCAACACAAAAUUUAAAUUUAAAAAAAUUCUAAACCUAACACAGAAUUUAAAUUAAAAAAAUUUCUAAAUCCAACACAAAAUUAAAAUUAAGAAAAUUUCUAAAUCAAACACAUUUAUCAUUUAACUAGUAAAUGCAGGAACAUUUAUAUUAUUAUGAUAUAUAACAAAAAAAUAAUAUUCAAAAUAAAAAAUCACUCUUUAUAUUCAGGUAAUUUACCAACUAGGUAUUUUGUUUCCAGAUCUAGAUCGGGUAGCGCUUCCGCGUUUGUGUAGAUUCAGAUCGGCUACUAAAUGGCAACUAAAGUAAGCAAAAAAUUUAAAUGGCGACCAGAGUAAUGCUUGUGGUAAGCAAUGAAUAAGCGAAUCGGUAAUGCUUGUGAUGAGAAGCACUACUCGUGAUGAGAAGUAAAGCGUGAAAGUGUUUUCGUUUCAUGUGGGGAAGAGAAAAAAUACUUUGUGAUGAGCAAAAGUGGUUUGUGAUAGAGCAAAAGCAUAAUGAAAAGUAAAGAGAAUAAUAAUAUAUUAUUCAAAGCUGAAAUUUUACAUGGGGAGGGGGAGGGGGAGAACACCCAAAACGGCAGCUUAAAACACCCGAAAGGCUGCUUUGUGCUGCCGUUUCAUCACGAGUAGUAAUGAUAUAUUAUUAUUACUUUUUCUCCCUUUAGGUGAAAUGACAGCUUUAAAUAAUAUAUUAUUAUUCUCUUUACUUCUCAUCACGUUUUUGCUCUAUCACAAACCAUUUUUCCUCUCCCCCACCUAAAACGAAAACACUUUUGCUCAUCACAAAGCAGCCUUCACGCUUUACUUCUCAUUUCAAGCAUUACCGAUUCGCUCAUUCAUCGCUCAUCACAAGCAUUACUCCGGUCGUCAUUCAUCCACAAGCAUUCAAAUUUUUUGCUUACUCUAGUUGCCAAUCAGCUCAACUCGUGGCCGAUCUAAAUCUACACAAACGCGAAAACGUUGCCCGAUCUAAAUCUGGAAGCAAAACACCUAACUGGUUAUAAAGAGUGAUUUGUUAUUUUGAAUAUUAUUUUUUGUUAUAUUAUACUAAAAUGAUAAAUGUGUUUGAUUUUAAAAAAAACUUAAUUUAAAUUUUGUGUUGGAUUUAGAAUUUUUACUAAUUUAAAUUUUGUGUUUGAUUUAGAAAUCUUUUUAUUUAAAUUAUGUGUUCGAUUUAGAAUUUUUUUAAUUUAAAUUUUGUGUUCGAUUUAGAAUUUUUUUAAUUUAAAUUUUUAGAAAUUUAAUGGAUUAAAUUAUUGUUGCAUCAAAAUUUUGUAAAAAUUUAUAAUAAUUUAUUCUUAAUACGAAUAUUAAUUAUUUUGUAGAAAUGAAAAAUUUUAAAAAUGAAGGUAGAGUCGAAGAUGUGCAAUCGGAAAAAUAUGAGCCGACUUUUGAUAUGUUAUUUGAUAGUCAUGAGGAAAUGUGACAAUUUUAUAAAGCCUAUGAUAAACAAUAAGGGUUUCUUGUGAAGAAACUAACAAAUAAGAAAGAGAGUGAUGAAAUUGUAAGAUACGCGACGUUUGCAUGUGGCCGUAAUGACAAGUCAGAAAGUAAAUCUACUGAUGUGCUGAAACCGAAACCUAUUGUGAAAAUUGGUUGUGAUGCUACAAUUGGAGGUUGUGUUAAAUGAAGAUGGAAAAUGAGUUCUUCGAACUUUAAACAUUCAGCACAAUCAUGGAUUGAGUCCGUAAUGUUAGUGCAAGUGCAAAAAAGCGUAUUGAAAUGAAUGAUUGUGCGAGAAUUAACAUUUUUUGAAAUUUUAAUUCUAUUGUUGUUGAAGCUGGUGGAUAUGAAAAUGCCUCAUUUCUAGAAGGAGAUACUAUGGCAAUUCUAAAGUACUUCCAGAAAUAAGUAAGCAUUGUUUUCAACAUAGUUUUUCAACAUGUGUAAUACAUAUACCAAUCGGUAAUUAUCACCAAAUAAUUGCCAACAAAAUAAUUACCAACAAAAUAAUUACCAAAAAAAUACCACCAAAAUAAUUACAAAUAUAUACCAAACAAUAAAAGAGAAACGACAGCAACUUACUUUGGAGAGGGAGAGAAGCGCCCGAGUUGAAUUUGGAGAUCUACGAGGGGGACGAGGAGCAGCGAGCAGAGAGCAGUAAUCUGCGAGCGAGGGAGAGAGGGAAGGAGUGAGCUCAUGAGGAAGUGAGGGAGAGGAGGAGAGGAGUAGAUCUCACUUUUUUUGUUCUUUUAUACCGGCGUUUUCCCUUUUAAUUCUUUUGUUUUUUGUUUUAACUAGAAUGCUGAGAGCUGCUAAUGAGAGAAACAAUAUUAAUUAUGUAUGCCAUUUCUCUCGAGGUUCUCUCAGCAUUCUAGUUAAUAAGCACUACUCCACAAUAACCAAAAGUGACAGAUUCUAUUAUUUUUCAGAAAACAAAGACUUCAAGGACAGCAAAUUUGUUCUUUUCACGGAGAAACCACCAAAAUAAUUACAAACAUAUACCAAACGAUAGAAGAGAAAUGACAGCAACUUACUUUGGAGAGGAAGAGAAGCGCCCGAGUUGAAUUUGGAGUUCUACAAGGUUCUCUCAGCAUUCUACUUAAUAAGCACUACUCCACAAUAACCAAAAGUAACAGAUUCUAUUAUUUCUCAAAAAACAAAGACUUCAAGGACAACAAAUUUGUUCUUUUCAUGGAGAAACCACCCCCCCCCCCCCCCCCUCCCCCAAAAAAAAAG